rnacentral:rRNA from 1 species
GAUGAACGCUGGCGGCGUGCCUAACACAUGCAAGUCGAACGGAGUCGUUUUGGCAAUCUCUUCGGAGAUGGAAUUCUCGACUUAGUGGCGGACGGGUGAGUAACGCGUGAGCAAUUUGCCUUUAAGAGGGGGAUAACAGUCGGAAACGGCUGCUAAUACCGCAUAAAGCAUUAAAUUCGCAUGUUUUUGAUGCCAAAGGAGCAAUCCGCUUUUAGAUGAGCUCGCGUCUGAUUAGCUAGUUGGCGGGGUAACGGCCCACCAAGGCGACGAUCAGUAGCCGGACUGAGAGGUUGAACGGCCACAUUGGGACUGAGACACGGCCCAGACUCCUACGGGAGGCAGCAGUGGGGAAUAUUGCGCAAUGGGGGAAACCCUGACGCAGCAACGCCGCGUGAUUGAAGAAGGCCUUCGGGUUGUAAAGAUCUUUAAUCAGGGACGAAACAAAUGACGGUACCUGAAGAAUAAGCUCCGGCUAACUACGUG